AUGUCAUGUUGAAACACUGGUUUCCAUACGAUCAUCAAAAUUAAGCAACGUCAAGCCUGGUGAGUACCUAGAUGAGUGACCAUUUGGCAAUACCAGGUGCUGU